GAAAUGCGAUAAGUAAUGUGAAUUGCAGAAUUCAGUGAAUCAUCGAAUCUUUGAACGCACAUUGCGCCCGCCAGUAUUCUGGCGGGCAUGCCUGUUCGAGCGUCAUUACAACCCUCAGGCCCCCGGGCCUGGCGUUGGGGAUCGGCGGAAGCCCACUGCGGGCACAACGCCGUCCCCCAAAUACAGUGGCGGUCCCGCCGCAGCUUCCAUUGCGUAGUAGCUAACACCUCGCAACUGGAGAGCGGCGCGGCCACGCCGUAAAACACCCAACUUCUGAAUGUUGACCUCGAAUCAGGUAGGAAUACCCGCUGAACUUAAGC
rnacentral:misc_RNA from 1 species